rnacentral:lncRNA from 12 species
GACAUUCAGUUAAAGAAGCCAAAGGAUUUUGAAGUAAAUGUAUCCUAUAAUCGUGUAGAAAGGUAAACAAGCAGAAAAGCAGCUAUACACCACAAACUGACUGAUGAGUGAGAGCUAAUAUUUGUCCUGAAACACAUCUCCCAUAGGAGUCCUGACUGAAUAUUUCACAUGGGAAGCUUUGAACCAGUGACUCACACCAACGCCGUCAUCAGAAAUCAACAGGAAUAUUUCCAAAAUGACUGUUUGCUCCUACUAAAGGCAGCAGCGAAACGCGAGCGAAUGCUGAUAAAAUCUCCUGCACAGAUUCCCUGAUGGCAGUAAGGAGUAACUGGGAGGAGAGAAGCGUCUGCGCUCCGCAGAACUGCAGGAGCUGCUGCCAGUGACACUGAGCCUCCAGUGAAGACACGCCGAUCAGAUGCACACAUCUGAAGCUCUCAGAGGAUGAGGAGGAGGAGGAAGCUCAGGUGAUUCAACCGCAGCUCCUCCAGGACAUGUUUUGAGCACCAUUUAAGAGCACUACAUUGACAACAUGAUGAUCUGAUCAUCAUCUACUUCUGAGACUGAUCUGAGAUCUGGACCCUGAUGAUCACAAACGCUGCUGUUGAUCAUUAUUUUCUCAGAUUUGUUCCUGUUGUUUACUACUUUUGUCAACCGAGUGAAAGUGAAGCAGGUCCGAGGCUGCUCUGAUUGGAUGGAGACUGGGCCUAAUUUGUAUAUUCAUGAUUCCUCAAAAUACUAACUGAGAUUCCUCCGCAUUCAGCAUGGAUCCGUCUGGACCACGUUUGAGACACAGAACACAACGCUUUCUGUCCCGAAUGUUCCCACUCAGGAUCCGGGCAGGAAACCUCCUCUGCAUUUCUUGGCGGUCCGUCCAUUGACCCCUCAGCGCAGCGGACGCGGCCAGGCUUCAUCUUCAGGGACUAAGAGAGACGGUGUUUUCACUCCAAACGAGUUAAAGUCUAAUUACUGCAGGCCAUUUACCAGUGUGAGGGACGACGGCCAGCGGUCUUCUGUCUCAGACGGCCCUGCUGUGCUCUCAUAAUCAUGAGCUGAGGAACCUGGAGGACUGGUGUUAGAAAGCAUUUCCUAAUAGAAGACAGCAGCUUUAUUUAGACAGGGUGCAGUUUUGGUGUAUCAAUUGAAAUCGGUUUUAUUUGUUUUUAAACACAAAAAUACAUAAAAUCAGUUUUAAACUACUGAACCACUCUGGCCUUGUUCGUACAGGCUUCAAAAAUUUAUUAUUUUUUGCCUAUCAGACUCAAUU